rnacentral:rRNA from 1 species
GACAGAGGGGGCAAGCGUUGCUCGGAAUCACUGGGCGUAAAGGGCGCGUAGGCGGGAUGGCAAGUCAGUCGUGAAAUCUCUCGGCUCAACCGAGAAACGUCGGCUGAUACUGCCGUUCUUGAGGGAUGCAGAGGAGACUGGAAUUCCCGGUGUAGCGGUGAAAUGUGUAGAGAUCGGGAGGAAGGCCGGUGGCGAAGGCGGCGCUCUGGAACGUUUCUGACGCUGAGGCUCGAAAGCGUGGGGAGCAAACAGG